UACGGGGGGGCAAGCGGUUGUUCGGAAUUACUGGGCGUAAAGGGCUCGGUAGGCGGCCAACUAAGUCAGACGUGAAAUCCCUCGGCUUAACCGGGGAACUGCGUCUGAUACUGGAUGGCUAGAGUGUGGGAGAGGGAUGCGGAAUUCCAGGUGUAGCGGUGAAAUGCGUAGAUAUCUGGAGGAACACCGGUGGCGAAGGCGGCAUCCUGGACCACGACUGACACUGAAAAGCGAAAGCCAGGGGAGCAAACGGG
rnacentral:rRNA from 1 species